AAACUCCGGUUUCCUUUCAUUGUGAAUAAAUCAUUCGCCUUUUACUAAAGAUUUCCGUGGAUGGGAGCAAUUCAAGGAGUCCGAUUUUUAAGUUUUAAUAGGUAAUAUAAAACUUUUUUA